rnacentral:rRNA from 1 species
UUUGUUCCCUAAAUAGGGACUUGUAUGAAUGGCCACACGAGGGCUUUACUGUCUCUUACUUCCAAUCCGUGAAAUUGACCUUCCCGUGAAGAGGCGGGAAUACAACAAUAAGACGAGAAGACCCUAUGGAGCUUUAAUUAACCGACCCAAAGAGACCCAUCAAUUUCAACCGACAGGAACAACAAACCUCUGUAUGGGCCGACAAUUUAGGUUGGGGUGACCUCGGAGAACAGAACAACCUCCGAGUGAUUUAAAUCAAGACUAACCAGUCGAAAGUAUUACAUCACUUAUUGAUCCAAAAGUUUGAUCAACGGAACAAGUUACCCUAGGGAUAACAGCGCAAUCCUAUUUCAGAGUCCAUAUCGACAAUAGGGUUUACGAC